rnacentral:misc_RNA from 1 species
UCUUGUUGGUGCUGGUAGUGGUGUGGCUUGAAGUUGUUAGCUACGCGCCAAAGUCAACCAAAAUACGGCGUCGUGUGAAACACUACUUGAAGAUAAUAGACCCUUAUUUUCGUGGACUUUGAAACAGCUGUUUAAUCCUACACGUCACGCUCUCUCUAUCUCUUUCUUCUUCUUACUUGAUGAGGAUUGAAAAAAAAAAAAA